UACGUAGGGACCAAGCGUUGUUCGGAUUUACUGGGCGUAAAGGGCGCGUAGGCGGCGCGGUAAGUCACUUGUGAAAUCUCUGAGCUUAACUCAGAACGGCCAAGUGAUACUGCAGUGCUAGAGUUCGGUAGGGGAGACUGGAAUUCCUGGUGUAGCGGUGAAAUGCGCAGAUAUCAGGAGGAACACCGGUGGCGAAGGCGGGUCUCUGGGCCGAUACUGACGCUGAGACGCGAAAGCGUGGGGAGCGAACAGG
rnacentral:rRNA from 1 species